GAGCAGUAUAUAUUGGCAGCCAUGUAGCUUUGUAGUUGCUUCGAAGAUUUUUUUCCUUGUCUGGUGAUUGGUUGGGCUUUGAAUACCUCCUAUCCUUAUAGCCAUGGAACAUUUGACGUUGACUCCAUUUACACUUGCAGAAACGAAAACGAACAUAUUUGCGACAAGUAUUUUUUGUGACCAUGAAACAAAAAAUUGUGAAUUUUUUAAGUACCUAUAUUUAGAAGACAUCUAGCGGAGGAAUUGCUUGUUACUGAAUACUCACUGAACUGUCAAUUUGUUCGUUGUCAGGGAGGCUAUAUCGAGUUUGGUUGCCAUAAUAAUGGUUGCUUCGCGUAUUGGAAAUGCUUUGCCGAAUCCCAAAAUAUCGCCAAGUGUGCCAUAUUGUUAUAAUCGUUCUUCUCCUUAGGAUGGUUACCAAUGUGCAGUUGAAUUCUAAAAGGUUUUGUUUGAUAUGCUAUAUUUAAAGAACUGAUGUUGGCAUUAGCUUGAUGGGGAAAAGUCAUUUC